rnacentral:rRNA from 1 species
CGCGUAGGCGGCCAUGUCAGUUGGGAGUGAAAGCCCCGGGCUCAACCUGGGAACUGCUCUCAAUACUGCGUGGCUUGAGAACGGGAGAGGGUAGUGGAAUUCCCAGUGUAGAGGUGAAAUUCGUAGAUAUUGGGAAGAACACCAGUGGCGAAGGCGGCUGCCUGGCCCGUUUCUGACGCUGAGGCGCGAAAGCGUGGGGAGCAAACA